UCCAGGGUAGCCUAGUGGACAUGGCAUCUGCCCGGUAAGCGGAACACUGUGGGUUCGAUUCCCAUUCCUGGAC